rnacentral:rRNA from 1 species
GCUAGUAAUCGCGGAUCGGCAUGCCGCGGUGAAUACGUUCCCGGGUCUUGUACACACCGCCCGUCACACCAUGGGAGCUGGUAACACCCGAAGUCAGUAGUCUAACCGCAAGGAGGACGCUGCCGAAGGUGGGAUUAGCGACUGGGGUGAAGUCGUAACAAGGUACC